UGAAUGGUGUGAUCAGAUUUCGUCGACACCGCGGAAAGCAAGGAAUGGCGCCCCUGAGGGUCCGCCCAAUACACUGGCAGCCAGUGAUCCUACACAGCGUUCACCCCGGAGGUGUGCCUCCUGCGUGCAUACCUUUCACUCUUACACUAAACACCCAUAAUGAUCGAACACAGAAGUCGAUUCUAUACACGACAGCCUGGCUUAGCUAAACGGCUCACACUUUCGCCCUUCUGACUCUGGCUAGAGGUGAUAUACUUCAGUACUCACACAGCUCAAACGGAGGACAAAAGCUGGGUACAGACAGCCUCGGAUCUGUCCAUGCUUUCCUUUUUCAGAGAUGGCUAUCAUGAAGCAUAACAAAGGAUCUUAGAUCUGGCGACUUUUGGUUCCUCCAGGAACUAUAUAGUACUUCUACAUAUUGAAGAAUUGCUUAAUUGGCGAUUAUUUAGCAAACAGCUGCACCCCAAACAGUCUCUGAGACGUCUAGGAAGCCAGCACCACCAUGAGGAACUUGCAGGAGGUCCCUGAUCAGUUCGUCAUAGACCUCCAGUACUUGCAUACUUACUUGUGCAUCUUGCUGUGAUAACUUUCGCUGACUUGUCAGAUGGUCUGGAGUGGACAGAAUAUCCAAUCUUGGCUCAAGGCUUACAUUUGCCACUGAGAUGAUGCGCUGGUAGAAACGAUCGACGCCUAAAACCAUCGAUCCUGACUGUUGAAGAAAUGAGACCGUCUAAGAGGAGGGACUGCACUGACAAAAAGACUGACAUAUUCGGUGAUCCCAACGUGAUUCACAUGGCGAUCUGUGCCGAUGUGACGUGACCUCCACCAUGAUCAAAGACACACUUUGCCUCCGAGGUGAGAGAGAUUGUAAUUGCUUUUUCUGGUUUCCUCGCGCUGAGAUAAAUUGCAUUGUAAAUUGUUUCUUCCCCGUCUCCAACUCUACAGGUCUGUUAGGAACUGAACAACAGCAAGCUUUGCCAUCGGGACAUUACUUGCUGGUUAAUUUUGUCCUGCUUUGAAAGCAGAUAUAAAUGUGACAGCUCCCAAGCUGACUGAAAUCUUCAAGCAAGUUUGGGAAUCAGGGCAGCUCCCUGUUGCUUGGAAGACAGGGCUCAUCUUCAAGUUACCCAAGAAAGGAGAU